rnacentral:rRNA from 1 species
GACGAACGCUGGCGGCGUGCUUAACACAUGCAAGUCGAACGGAAAGGCCCUGCUUUUGUGGGGUGCUCGAGUGGCGAACGGGUGAGUAACACGUGAGUAACCUGCCCUUGACUUUGGGAUAACUUCAGGAAACUGGGGCUAAUACCGUAUAGGAGCUCCUGCUGCAUGGUGGGGGUUGGAAAGUCUCGGCGGUUGGGGAUGGACUCGCGGCUUAUCAGCUUGUUGGUGGGGUAGUGGCUUACCAAGGCUUUGACGGGUAGCCGGCCUGAGAGGGUGACCGGCCACAUUGGGACUGAGAUACGGCCCAGACUCCUACGGGAGGCAGCAGUGGGGAAUAUUGCACAAUGGGCGGAAGCCGGAUGCAGCAACGCCGCGUGCGGGAUGACGGCCUUCGGGUUGUAAACCGCUUUCGCCUGUGACGAAGCGUGAGUGACGGUAAUGGGUAAAGAAGCACCGGCUAACUACGUG